UUCUUUUAUAAUAUGAAUUAAAAUGCAAAAGUUGUAUGUAAGUGGAAUGUUGUGUCAAGAAAGGUGUAAACUAAACACUUUGCAGCCCUUUCCUGCCCUUGAAUAUGAUGUCUUUGGUAUAGGAGCUGCAUAAUUAAUAGUG